GACGAACCGUGCGAACGUUAUUCGGAAUUACUGGGCUUAAAGCGCGUGUAGGCGGGUCGGCACGUCGGUCGCUGAAAUCCCCCGGCUCAACCGGGGAACGGGCGCCGAUACGACCGCCCUGGAGGGACGUAGGGGGACCUGGAACUUCCGGUGGAGCGGUGAAAUGCGUUGAGAUCGGAAGGAACGCCCGUGGCGAAAGCGAGGUCCUGGACGUCUUCUGACGCUGAGACGCGAAAGCCAGGGGAGCGAACGGG
rnacentral:rRNA from 1 species